CCUUAAAACCUUAAACAAAUAGUUUAUUAUUUUUCAGUCAAUAUGUGGCAGUUGCUUUUAUUUGUUGCUUUAUUAAAUUUAAUCAGAGGGGAAGAAGCCGUGACUCCGAUUGUUCUAAACAUUCCAAAAGAUGGUGAAGAAAAUAAGAAAGCAGAUUCGAUAUAUGUACGGAUUGAGCACGGUAAUAAUAAUAUAGAAAGCGCAACUACGGAGUUUCCAAUAAAAGAUUCAGAUUGUGCGAAAACUAAUAGUAAAAAUUGGAUUACGCGGCUAAUUUAUAAGAAGUAUUGUUGGGCUUCUACUAUUUUGGGAAGAAAGUAAAUAUUUUAGUAAUACAUUUUAAACAAAUAUAAUAAUAAAAAACAAAUAUAAUGUAUCAUACGAAAAUAAUAUUCGCGAACUGUUAAUUAAACCUUGCUCUAACCGUU